AAAAAUGAACUAAAAUGAACUAAAAUUGUGGUAGAUAGUGUUCCGGGGUUUUCCAGUUCUACCAUUAACAUUUCAUUUUGGCGGAAAACCUGAGAGAGUACCUUCUGCUCUUGUCANNNNNNNNNNNNNNNNNNNNNNNNNNNNNNNNNNNNNNGUACCUUCUGCUCUUGUCACGCCUAGUUCUACUACACUCACUCAAAUUAUUACGAAACAAACUCAAAAAUUUUCUGCCACCUCCUCCGGUAACCGCCGCCUCCUCCGCCGUUAACCGCCGGAUAUUCUCUAUCAACUUCAGGUAACCUCCGUUCUUCUCUCCGAUCUGGUUUCAUUUUCUCCAUUCGUUACCUUUUUAUUCUGAUUUAGGGUUUUAUUUUCGGUAUCUCUCUCUCUUCAAAUUUCUCUAUUACCGUACCCGAAUUGCAUGUUUUUCUUCUUCUAAUUGUUCUUACUGUUAGUGUCAUUGAUGAUGCGUGAUGGUGAUGACGUGUGUCCUUUAUUUUUGUUUUUUUAUCCAAUUUGUUUAUUUUAUUUUAUAUUUUUUUUGGUUUCGAUUCUGAAAUUAUCCUUUUAUAGGUUACACAUGCAAUUUUGAAUGCAUGUCCAGAUUAUUUUACUGUUUUCUUCUGGCAAUUUGUGUAUUUUUUUUUUUAAUUUUAAUUUGGAAUUUCUCAGUGCAUUUUUCUUUUGGUCAAUUCUCAUAUUCUCAUAUGUUUUACUAUUAAAUUAAAAUUCUCUGAAUUUUGGUUUGACUUUUUAAAUUCUGUUAAUGUGUAAUUUGUUUUGUAUUUCUCACUGCAUUUUUGUGUUGAGUUAUGUUUUGGGGUU
rnacentral:lncRNA from 1 species